CCUACGGGAGACUGCAGUGAGGAAUAUUGGUCAAUGGGCGCAAGCCUGACCCAGCCAAGUAGCGUGAAGGAUGACUGCCCUACGGGUUGUAAACUUCUUUUAUAAAGGAGUAAAGUGAGGCGCGUGUGCCUUUUUGUAUAUACUUUAUGAAUAAGGAUCGGCUAACUCCGUGCCAGCAGCCGCGGUAAUACGGAGGAUCCGAGCGUUAUCCGGAUUUAUUGGGUUUAAAGGGAGCGUAGAUGGGUUGUUAAGUCAGUUGUGAAAGUCUGCGGCUCAACCGUAAAAUUGCAAUUGAUACUGGCAGUCUUGAGUACAGGUGAGGUAGGCGGAAUUCGUGGUGUAGCGGUGAAAUGCGUAGAUAUAACGAAGAACUCCGAUUGCGAAGGCAGCUUACUAAACGGCCACUGACAGUGAUGCUCGAAAGUGUGGGUAGCAAACAGGAUUAGAUACCCGGGUAGUC
rnacentral:rRNA from 1 species